UCGUUUUACAUGCUUUCAGAAUGUGUGAAAACUUCUGAAUGAAAAACAUGAAUGGAAUGAGUGAUGAAAGUAGUACCGGUAAUGUCAAAGUUCACGUAUUAGCCAAUCAAAUCAAUCGAAGGUGUUAUGACACAUAUGUGUCAGAACACUUUGUUAUGAAACCCCUUUACGAAGUACCACGUGGGUAAUAAUAGACAAUAUAAUAUCUUAA